CUCUACUAGAUAAUGAGUGGUGGACAUCCUACACUAGUAAGUGCUUUAAUAUAUCUUGUGAUAUUAUCAAAAAUUCUACAAGUUGCUGCAAUUAGCCUGGUAUUACAGGCUCUUGAUUACGAAAUAAUUUUUUAUAUUAGAGUUAGGCUCUUGAUUUGUUUUAUGACAGGCUCGCAGGUUCAAUUCCUUCUAGUCUAGUUUAUUUAUCCAAUUUGAAAUCUCUAUCCUUUGCUCAUAAUGUUUUUAAUGGGUCUCUUCCGCAAGAGUUAGGCAUGCACAAAAAUUAACUUAGAUUGGAUAUUGGCAUAUGAACAACCUAAGAGGUUCAAUUCCCUCAUCCCUGGAACAAUUGACCAAUUUAACAGAAUCAUACCCUUGACUCAAAUCUUUUAGAAGGUCCGAUGCCAGGAUAACUGGGCAACUUGCAUGCAUUGACAUUAUUGCACCUUGCCAAUAACUGUGUCAGACACAAUACCAAUUGAAAUUGGAGGUCUCUUCAUGAUUGGAGAAUUGAACCUUUCCAAAAACAAAUUGGAUGGACCCAUUAUGGUAACCUUAAUUAGCAUGGUGUACACUUUAAAUCUCAGUCACAAAUUAAUUAUGUCUCUCGUCAGCUUAAAUUUUCAUUCUUUAAAUUCAAUGUUAGCAUUUCAUUUUUACCUGUUAUAAUAACCCAGAUAUGUCUCUGGAUUACAGUUGAUUACUUGAUUUCAUGGAACA
rnacentral:misc_RNA from 1 species